AAAGUCGUAACAAGGUCUCCGUAGGUGAACCUGCGGAGGGAUCAUUACCGAGUGGAGGGCGCUCCGGCGCCCGACCUCCCAACCCUUUGAAUUGAUCAAGACCUCCUUCUGCCUCGGGGGCGACCCGGUCCUCGCGGCCCGGUGUCCCCCCGGCGGCGCCCAACCUCAACCCUGCAUCAAUUGUCGUCGGAUAUUGAAGCGAAUUCAAUUAAAACUUUCAACAACGGAUCUCUUGGUUCUG
rnacentral:misc_RNA from 1 species